CACUGCAGGACUCAGAUCUGUCAGUCAACACAGCAGAAACCACAACCACCAUGACUCUCAUCACCAUCCUCAUCUGGACGCUGGCCUGCUGCUGUAUCACAGGAUCUCUUGGUCAAGUGACUGUGACUCAGUCUCCUUCAGUGUCAUCUUCUCUUGGACAAACAGCCAGUCUGACCUGUAAAAUGAACCCACCAGUUUAUGCGUGGUCCAACGGAGAAAGUGAUUCAUACUGGUAUCAGCAGAAAUCAGGACAAGCUCCAAAGUUGGUCAUCAAACGGGGUAAAAAUCCAACAAGUGAGUUUUCUUCUAGAUUCUCUGGUACAAGUGAUGGAGCGAACGCUGCUUUGACCAUCAGUGGAGUUCAGGCUGAAGAUGCAGCAGUUUAUUACUGUAAGAGUGGUCAUGUAAUAAACAGUGCUGCUGUCUUCACACAGUGA